UGAGUUUGAUCCUGGCUCAGAAUGAACGCUAGCGAUACACAUAACACAUGCAAGUCUAAGGGUUCCCUGGUGAAUCCUGGCGUACGGGUGCGUAACACGUGAGAAUCUGCCCCAUACAGGUGGUGAAAUACCACGGAUAUGUUUAUAUCUAGAUAUAUAUCGGUAUGGGAUGAGCUUGCGGGGUAUUAGGUAGUUGGUGUGGUAAAGGCGCACCAAGCCAUAGAUGCCUAGCUGGUUUGAGAGAACGAUCGGCCACACUGGGACUGAGACACGGCCCAGACGCUUACGAGCGGCAGCAGUGGGGAAUAUUGGACACUGGGCGCAAGCCUGAUCCAGUGAUAUCGCGUGGGUGAUGAAGGCGAUUGACGUUGUAAAUCCCAUGUAUAUGCUAUAGACUAUGACCGUGGGAUAUAUACAAGUCCCGGCUAAUCUCGUGCCAGCAGCCGCGGUAAUACGAGAGGGGCAAGCGUUAUUCAAAAUGAUUGGGCGUAAAGCGCACGUAGAUGGAUAUGGGUGGACACUCCUAUGCACAUAUCAUAUGUGUCCAUAGAGUCCAUCGACCCGUAUCUCGAGGACGUUAGAGGAACAUGGAAUUCCCCAGGAAGCGGUAGAAUGUGUUGAUCUGGGGAGGAACACCAAAAGCAAAGGCAGUGUUCUAGGACGUACCUGACAUUGAGGUGCGAAGGCGUGGGGAUCAAAAGGGAUUAGAUACCCCUGUAGUCCACGCUGUCAACGAUGACCAUUCCCCAUGUUUUCCAAUGGUGAAGGCGUGGGUUAGCUAACGCGGUAAAUGGUCCGCCUGAGGAGUACGAUCGCAAGAUUAAAACUCAAAGGAAUAGACGGGGGCUCACACAAGUGGUGGAACAUGUGGUUUAAUUCGAUACUACGCGCAUAACCUUACCAGUUCUUGACAUGAAACAGUGUUUCACAGGUGUUGCAUGGCUGUCGUCAGCUCGUGUGGUGACAUGUUGGAUUAAUUUCCCGAACGAGCGAAACCCAUCCCUUGUGCAUAUACUCUCAAGGGACCGCCAGUGAUAGACUGGAGGCAGGAAUGGAUGACGUCAAGUCCUCACGACCCUUAUGAACUGGGCUACACACGUGUUACAAUGGUGUAUACAAUAAGUUGCUAUGACGAAAGUCGGCGCCAACCUCUAACGUACAUCUCAGUUCGGAUUGAUGUCUGCAACUCGACAUCAUAAAGAUGGAAUCACUAGUAAUCGUGGAUCAGCACGCCACGGUGAAUACGUACCUGAGCCUUGUACUCCCCGCCCGUCACACUCCGGGAGUACUGUGUAGUGGAAGUAUCCUUAUCCUAGUCCAUGAUAUGUGCUGAGCACUCUAUACACAUGGAAUAGAACAAUAAAGGUCCCAGACCACAUAGCACAACUGGAGUGAAG
rnacentral:rRNA from 1 species